AGGGUUUGAUCCUGGCUCAGGACGAACGCUGGCGGCGUGCUUAACACAUGCAAGUCGAACGGAAAGGCCCAGCUUGCUGGGUGCUCGAGUGGCGAACGGGUGAGUAACACGUGGGUGAUCUGCCUCUAACUUCGGGAUAAGCUUGGGAAACUGGGUCUAAUACCGGAUAGGACAAUCGUUUAGUGUCGGUUGUGGAAAGUUUUUUCGGUUAGGGAUGAGCCCGCGGCCUAUCAGCUUGUUGGUGGGGUAAUGGCCUACCAAGGCGUCGACGGGUAGCCGGCCUGAAAGGGUGGACGGCCACAUUGGGACUGAAAUACGGCCCAAACUCCUACGGGAGGCAACAUUGGGGAAUAUUGCACAAUGGGCGCAAGCCUGAUGCACUGACGCCGCGUGGGGGAUGACGGCCUUCGGGUUGUAAACCUCUUUCGACAGGGACGAAGCUUUGGUGACGGUACCUGUAUAAGAAACACCGGCUAACUACCUGCCAUCAGCCGCGGUAAUACGUAGGGUGCGAGCGUUGUCCGGAAUUACUGGGCGUAAAGAUCUCGUAAGUGGUUUGUCGCGUCUUCUGUGAAAUUCCGGGGCUUAACUUCGGGCGUGCAUGCUAUACGGGCAUAACUUGAGUGCUGUACGGGAGACUGAGAAUUCCUGUUGUAUCGGUGGAAUGCUCAGAUAUCAUGAGGAACACACUAUGGUGCAACGCAGGUCUCUGGGUGCGUAACUGACGCUGAGGAGCGAAAGCAUGGGGAGCGAACAGGAUUAGAUACCCUGGUAGUCCAUGCCGUAAACGGUGGGCGCUAGGUGUAGGGGUCUUCCACGACUUCUGUGCCGUAGCUAACGCAUUAAGCGCCCCGCCUGGGGAGUACGGCCGCAAGGCUAAAACUCAAAGGAAUUGACGGGGGCCCGCACAAGCGGCGGAGCAUGUGGAUUAAUUCGAUGCAACGCGAAGAACCUUACCUGGGCUUGACAUAUACAGGACUGGGCCAGAGAUGGUCUUUCCCUUUGUGGCUUGUAUACAGGUGGUGCAUGGUUGUCGUCAGCUCGUGUCGUGAGAUGUUGGGUUAAGUCCCGCAACGAGCGCAACCCUUGUCUUAUGUUGCCAGCGGUUUUGGCCGGGGACUCAUGAGAGACUGCCGGGGUUAACUCGGAGGAAGGUGGGGAUGACGUCAAAUCAUCAUGCCCCUUAUGUCCAGGGCUUCACACAUGCUACAAUGGUCGGUACAACGCGCUGCGAGCCUGUGAGGGUGAGCGAAUCGCUGAAAGCCGGCCUCAGUUCGGAUUGGGGUCUGCAACUCGACCCCAUGAAGUCGGAGUCGAUAGUAAUCGCAGAUCAGCAACGCUGCGGUGAAUACGUUCCCGGGCCUUGUACGCACCGCCC
rnacentral:rRNA from 1 species